rnacentral:rRNA from 1 species
CUACGGGUGGCUCCAGUGGGGAAUAUUGCGCAAUGGGGGAAACCCUGACGCAGCAACGCCGCGUGAAGGACGAAGGUUUUCGGAUCGUAAACUUCUUUGAUUGGGGAAGAAUAAAUGACGGUACCCAAAAAACAAGCCACGGCUAACUACGUGCCAGCAGCCGCGGCAAUACGUAGGUGGCAAGCGUUGUCCGGAUUUACUGGGUGUAAAGGGCGUGUAGGCGGGGAGGCAAGUCAGAUGUGAAAUACCACGGCUCAACCGUGGGGGUGCAUCUGAAACUGCUUCUCUUGAGUGCUGGAGAGGAAAGCGGAAUUCCUAGUGUAGCGGUGAAAUGCGUAGAUAUUAGGAGGAACACCAGUGGCGAAGGCGGCUUUCUGGACAGUAACUGACGCUGAGGCGCGAAAGCGUGGGGAGCAAACAGGAUUAGAUACCCCUGUAGUC